rnacentral:rRNA from 1 species
GUACGUUUGACUCCGUGGCUACGAGGACGAACGCUGGUGGCGUGCGUUAACACAUGCAAGUCGAACGGUGAAGCCCAGCUUGCUGGGUGGAUCAGUGGCGAACGGGUGAGUAACACGUGAGCAACCUGCCCUCCACUUCGGGAUAAGCCUUGGAAACGAGGUCUAAUACCGGAUACGAGCACUUACCGCAUGGUGGGUGUUGGAAAGGUUUUUCGGUGGGGGGAUGGGCUCGCGGCCUAUCAGCUUGUUGGUGGGGUAAUGGCCUACCAAGGCGUCGACGGGUAGCCGGCCUGAGAGGGCGACCGGCCACACUGGGACUGAGACACGGCCCAGACUCCUACGGAGGCAGCAGUGGGGAAUAUUGCACUAAUGGGCGAAAGGCCUGAUGCAGCGACGCCACGUGAGGGAUGACGGCCUUCGGGUUGUAAACCUCUUUCAGCAGGGAAGAAGCGCAAGUGACGGUACCUGCAGAAGAAGCGCCGGCUAACUACGUG